CCCCAGCUUGAAUUUCUUUCCCCCGAUCUGUUCUUCUUUCUCUCCACCGGCCGCAGGCCACGGUCUCCCACGCCAGCAGCAGCCUCGCCACCACCGAUCUCUAACCAACCGGCCAGCAGCAGCGUUUUCCUUCCCCAUCAGCGACCAAAACAGAGCCGUUCCCCCAUCUCCUCAGACCCACGGCUCCCGCUUCAGCCAGCGAGUCUUUCCUUCCUUAGCUGCCGAACAUCCUCCAGCGACAGCAAUAACCCACCGACGCCUUGACAGCAGAUCCGGUCACCUGAGACAGAGACGAGAGGAGGUAGAGAAACGGAAGAGACGAUCUGAAGAAGAAGAGGAAGCAGCAGAUCGGAGAAGAAAGAACAAAAAAAUCAGAUUCGAAAAUAAAGAAAUAAAAGCUUAAAAUCGACUGCUUGUUGCGUUUUGGGUGUUUUUGCAGGUAACACCGGCGAGGACGGGAAGAGGGGACGAAGCUGCCACCAGCCCCCCUGCUGCGUCCUUUUUUUUCCUGCGGCGCGUGAACCCACGCGCCGCCAGUGACGGUGGCGCGUGGGGAGACGCGCCACCACUGUUUGCUGCGGUGGCAGGAGGCUAUCAAUGCGAUUUCUGAAGUUUAGGGACUUUUUUUUUUGUAAUUUUUAAAUUAUGUAAUGUAUUUUUUUUUUUUAGUGUUUAGUUUUUAUAUUUUUUGUAAUGGGAUGUACAAAAAGAAAAGAAAGAGAAAAUAAUCAUAAAAAAGGGGUUGUAUGUGUUGGUGUAUUUUUAUUCAGUUUUUAUAAUUUGUAUUUUGUAUUUGUGGAUGGAAAAGAAAAAGAAAAGAAAAGAAAAGAAACAAAAAUAGUGAAAGUGUAUGUGUGAGUUUGUAUUUUGUUUUAUUUAUUUGUAUAUAUUUUUUAAUGAUAAAAUUGCAAGGAC
rnacentral:lncRNA from 1 species